UUUUUUCUGCACCGCCCAUUGUAAGUGAGUUGAAUUGUGUGUGAGAGUGUGUAGGCAAUUAAUUGGGUGGUUUGCAUUUGCUGGAGUAUCGUGGUGCGCAAUUGGGUGCAACGUGGAUGCACCUUUCGACUCCCGUUUCUGCUUCCUCCUCGUUUGAUCUGCGCGUGGGAGAUGUAGCCGCGUCGAAUUUGGUGCCUUGUGUUCAAUUGAUUAUCUGCGCUCUAACAGUAUUUUAUUUGCUGUUUGAUUACUACAAAAUACUAUUCAAUUUGGAGGCCCUAUUUUGUCAUUAACUCUCACAAAGAUGACAACUUAUGAGAGGCAGGAUUCAAACGGUCUCGGUUGGGCAGACGAAUGGGACAGGAACUUCGAUGAUGAUGUUGACGGCACCCAAGGAAGGCGAAAGAGUAGCAAGAUGGAGAAGCUGAAGGCUGCAGCGUCCAGCAGUGUAGAAAAGACGAAGACUGCUGCUACACAUAGUGCACAGAAAAUGAAGUCAGGCACUUCGACGAGCUUACGUUGGGUUAAGGAUAAAGUUCACAGGAAGAAAUGAGUCUGCUCCAAUAUGAGCAAUUUUUGAGGUCGUGUCGAUCACCAUGGCCGUUUACGGUGGAUCCUUUUAGCCUCAGCGAUGGUGGAAGAAAGCGAAUUAUCGUUCACAGUGCCUCACUGGUCGUCCCUGAAUGUUGAUUGCGUCUUGAUGAAGACCGACUGCAUUGCACGAGAUAUGUGUGCUGGCAUCGCGGAAUACAACAUCAACAGAUGCAAUUAUCAUGCAAAGAGAUACGGAGAGAAACCAAUUGAAAGUCUCUCAUAAGAUCUUGGCGCAACAAUGUGCAGACUCCUGUUUUUAAGAUACCAGACUUGUUAGCAUUCGUGUUAAAAGUUUUUCUUUUUCUUUUUUCUAUUUUAUUGAAACUGAUUAGAUCUGUUAAGAGGGUGGUGAUUCAUAUUUUAGUCUAGCAUAUUCAACCAGAUUUUUCCCUCUUGAAUCAGGAAGGAACUCUCAUUGUUUGAGUGCUGAUUCUCAAUGUCCACGGUUGGUAGAUAAUUUAGUUUUCGUGUGAGUGUCCGAAUAUUUUCAGUGUCGCUGUUACUACAUAUCUUUUCAACAAUUUAGUUAUGUAUGGGGUGCUUUCGUGUGUAUAUAUAGCAGCUAUUUCUAAAACUGUGUGAACAACA